rnacentral:rRNA from 1 species
UACAGAGGGUGCAAGCGUUUGUUCGGAAUUAUUGGGCGUAAAGCGCGUGUAGGCGGCCGUGCAAGUCGGGUGUGAAAGCCCUCGGCUCAACCGAGGAAGUGCGCCCGAAACUGCAUGGCUUGAGUACCGGAGAGGAUGGCGGAAUUCCCCAAGUAGAGGUGAAAUUCGUAGAUAUGGGGAGGAACACCGGUGGCGAAGGCGGCCAUCUGGACGGAUACUGACGCUGAGACGCGAAAGCGUGGGGAGCAAACAGG